rnacentral:lncRNA from 1 species
UAAUUCACCGAAAAACGAAGUUUCGUACGAAAUUUCGCGAACUUCUUACCACGGUUCCAUUUCGUUCCGAAAUUUCGUACGAACGAAGAUUGUUUGACGUUUAUUGUCUAUAAACCUACUCUAAUUCGAAAUGCUACGAACGAAUAUUUGAGUUUGACAGACGAAACUUCGGAAUUUUAACCUCAAAUUCAACGAAACCAAAAGAGUUAUCGUUUGAUUUUCGUGUUACUUUUCGUUUUGUGAAUUUUGUGUGAAAAUUAUUGGCAAAGGCUACAAUAAUGCUUUUAAUCAAAGCAGCUUUACGUGAAGAUCAUGUAGAGCGAAGAAGGAACCGGCAGUGCUUGCGCAAUCAAUUAAAUAUUAGCGAAAUUCCCGACGUAGAGUUUGUAGGAAAUCACAGACUCAGUCGGCAAUUUUUCGAAGGGUUGUGCCAGGAAUUCGUGCCUUUAUUACCUCCAAACAAUGCACAUUGCAAUUGCUAGACCUUCUGGAAUCGAAAAUAUUUCCAUUCUCUUAACACCCAAGUUAUAUUAUGUGACAGCGAUACUAUAUAACAAAUGUGGAUGUGUCAUUUGGUGGAGCAACACACAUGAUGCUUAUAUUUGGAGAGUGUGAUAUUAGAAGCCACUUGGAGGGUCUCCAGAAUGAAACAGUUUAUCUGUUAGGUGACUCUGGGUAUUCUCUCUAAGGGAGCAUAUGAUGACACCGAUAGAUAAAGCUGUUGAAGAUUCUCUUGAAGGCAGAUACAACUUUGCAGAGCUUUGUUAGUGCAAAUUUUGGAAAGGAAUAGGUAGGACAAAGUUCUACUCAAGCACAUCAUAACAUGCUCCAGAAAAUAUGUAUGUUUAUUGAUUUUAAGUAUUUGACAUGAUGUUAUUUAUUUCCUGUAGAGUUUAAUAAAAGAAUAAAUUAUA